GCCUAGCCAUAAUACACAAUUAAAUUACNAAUUGUCCGCCAAANAACUACGAGUCAUACUUAAAACUUAAAAGACUUGACGGUACUUCACCACGACCUAGAGGAGCCUGUCUAAUAACCGACAAUCCACGAUUAACCCCACCCUUUCUUGCCCAACAGUCUAUAUACCGCCGUCGCCAGCUUACCUUGUNAAAGAAAUAAAGUGAGCCAAAGAGUACUACACUAAAACGACAGGUCGAGGUGUAACCAAUGAAAGGGACCAAGAUGGGCUACAUUCUCCAGCCGAGAAUACGAAUAGCACUAUGAAACUAGUNCCUGAAGGCGGAUUUAGCAGUAAGAUAAGAAUAAAAACACCUNNCUNNAACACAACGCAAUGCAAGUUCGC
rnacentral:rRNA from 1 species